rnacentral:rRNA from 1 species
UGGGGAAUUUUGGACAAUGGGGGAAACCCUGAUCCAGCCAUCCCGCGUGUGCGAUGAAGGCCUUCGGGUUGUAAAGCACUUUUGGCAGGAAAGAAACGUCAUGGGUUAAUACCCCGUGAAACUGACGGUACCUGCAGAAUAAGCACCGGCUAACUACGUGCCAGCAGCCGCGGUAAUACGUAGGGUGCAAGCGUUAAUCGGAAUUACUGGGCGUAAAGCGUGCGCAGGCGGUUCGGAAAGAAAGAUGUGAAAUCCCAGAGCUCAACUUUGGAACUGCAUUUUUAACUACCGGGCUAGAGUGUGUCAGAGGGAGGUGGAAUUCCGCGUGUAGCAGUGAAAUGCGUAGAUAUGCGGAGGAACACCGAUGGCGAAGGCAGCCUCCUGCGAUAACACUGACGCUCAUGCACGAAAGCGUGGGGAGCAAACAGG